GUGAACUGGAUCCAACUUGCCCUGUUCAGCAUUCCUUUUCUCCACGCUUUGAGUGACUGCCUAAUUAUUUUCAAGUACAUAUAACAAAAGCGCUCUGUUAGUUUGCAGGAAGAGUUCUCUCCUUUACGCAAUGACCAGAUGUCAAUAAGAAGAGUUCAAUUGUCAAGGUAAUAUUUAUUCUGCAUACAAACCGUUUUAUUAACAUUGCUCUCUACUGUGACGUCUUUGCUUUAAUAUUCUGUAGCCCUAAUAAGAGCUUUCACGUAUGAGAGCAUUGCUACCCCAGUGCAUAUUGAAUAGAGGUGUUUUAUAUGCCAUGAAGCAGUUAUAUAUACUAUAUAUAGUGAGUCAGUAAGCAUGGUGUUGGAUAUUAUUUCUAGUAGUAAAAUGUGAAUUCUAGAAUAAAAAUGUGAAUUAUUUCUCUUCAGCAGCAAAAACAUUGGAAAAUUAUUGUGCAAAUCAAAGCAAAUGGUUCUAUUCGUCACCUGCAGACAUACACUGAACAGACAUAUAUGUUUUAUUUCAUGACUGAAUAGAGGAGCCGCACUCAAUUCCGUUUGACACCAGGUGCACUGAAGCAGGACCAGCAAUCCCACAACGCUCAGGCAAACAGAAGAAUGGUCUCCAGGCACUCAAGGUGUUCAAACUCAAGCUUGACAAAGACCUCAUAGCAGGUCGAAACGUUACUUUUUUUGACCCAAUAAAUCUGACUUUGGUUUAAACACCUUGUGAGUUUUAUUGUGCCACAUGAUUCCUUUGCCUGGAGCACUAUUACAUGAUGAGUGAAACUCUUGAAUUAGCUGAUGGCACCCAUCCCAUGGCCAAAGAGAUUACCAUUCAAGUUGCGUAUGUGGAGUGCACUUGCAGCCAACACAAGUUGGACAGAGGUUGGACAGCAAAAGAAAAGUUAACAUUCUUUUUUUUAUGUCACUGACUUAGGGGGCAGUCUUACAGUUGCAGCAAUCUGUACAAGCUAUUCCAGUAUCAGCCAUUCUGAGUGGGUAGACAGAAACCCAUCUGAUGAUGUAAAGUUGUUAUUGAUCGUUUAAAAUGUUCCUAUUCUACUUUAAUGAAAACAUUGCAGAAUCUGAUUUUUAUAUUAGAUAGAAUGUAUCCUUCUUAUGUUUAUGAUAUAUUAGUGAGAUAUUUGGGGAAUAUGGUGCCAACAUAUUUUCUUUCAUUCAUAGUAAUGCAGUUAUGAAAAAAGGUUACAAAAUUUAAAUGUGUUUAGUUUAGAAUAACAGCACCUCAGAGGGUAUUUUAAUAGUAUUAUACAAAUAUAUUUAAGGGCCAAUACAAACUACUGUCUGUAAAUUUAUUCCGAAACAGGACUAUAGAUAGGAUACAAAGUCCCGAAUUUAAACUGGAAGAAAGGAGAUUUCACUUAAGUCAAAUGAAGGGUUUCUUUACAGUAAGAACAAUAAGGAUGUGGAAUUCUCUGCCUGAAGAGAUAGUUUUAUCAGAGUCUGUACAGAUGUUUGUAUACUUGCAAAAACAUAAUAUUCAGGGUUAUAAUUUCUAAUUUGUGGGGUAAUAGUUUCUUCAUACAAGGAGAGAUCAGACUGCCAUUCUGGUGUCAAGAAGGAUUGUUCUCCUAAUUUGUUGUAAACUUGCAAUUCACUUCAAACUGGGUGUUUUGCCUUCGUUUCAAUCAACAGCAAAAACAGAUGUGUGAAAAGCUGAACUUAACGGACACAUGUCACUUUUCAGCCUGUGUAACUAUGAGGUAUAGACUAAGAUUUGAAUUUCACAUUGCAUUCACAUUGAAUAAAAAGUGCAGGUUUAAAUAGAAAUUAAUCUUGUUACAACCUUAGCUGUCAAUCAGACAACCAACCCAAUUACUUAUUGGUUAUUUAGCUCAGUGGAGAUAAACUCAAGAUGCAGGCAAUUGCUUAGUGACUACUCAUUGAGCUGCAUUUGGAGAUCUGUGAUUGGAUAGCCACAAAAAGUCUGGGUGGGGCUAUAAGGGGAGGGCUUACAAAGGCUGCAGAAAUUAGAUCUGCAGCUCUUGCACACUGUUUUACACACACCCCAAAUGAAUAUUUGCCUAAAUAAAUGCAUGCAUGUAUUCAUAUCUACUAAAUAAUGAUUUACAGAAUACUGAUAGAAUAUGUGCAAAUAUCUACUUUGUAUGCAUUCUGCAUCAAAUGUGACAUUCCUUUUGAAAUAGGUACCAUAUGGUGAAUCAGCUCGUUAUACAGGACCCCAAUCAGUCUCAGCUCUGUUUGGAUGCUUGUUUAUCAUAGUAAACACUGUUGAUUUAUUUUAUGUUUCAAACAAACAAGCAAACAAAUUAACAAAAAAUGGGAAGCACUCCGCUGAAUGAGUAUGUAUUAGAUGGGGGGCAGAUGAAAUUGUGAGAAAUAAGAUCGUCGCACAUUCAUAUUAUACAAACUAUAAAUCUUUUAAAGUUGCAUAAAAACACAUUUUACAGUAAAAUAUGAUAAUUUAGUUAUGUUUAGUAGGCUCCUCUCCUCCUGGUUAACAUUCUUCCAGUUUCUGUAGAGCUUCAGAAGCUGAUGCAGCCAGCUGUCAUUAUCUUAGAGCGUUGCACACUAAGCAAAACAAAUAAAUAAAAAUUGCACAUCAUUGAAAUGGAACGCUUUUAUCUGAGAUGUUCAAAUCCAAAGAGUGGAAAGCACACAUCUUCUAAAUAAGGAACCCAGAGUAAGGUGCGACUUGGCAGGUGUGGUGUAUCUCCAGAGUAAUACUUCAAUAAGAAAAAUGCCUGUGUACACCAAGUUGUUUCAUGUGAGCAGACUACAUUUGGUGGUUAAAGCAACGCUUCGGCACUUAAAGUGAGCCUUUUAUGCUUGCAAAAAGGCUCACUCUAAGAGUCGAAGUGUUCCUUUAACCACAAAAUAAAGUCUGCUCACAUAGAACACUUGAUUUGGCAGUUAAAGCAGCAUUUCGACUCUUAGAGUGAGAAUUAGAAUGAGCCUUUUAUGCCUGAAAAAAAGCUCACUCUAAAAGCCAAAAUGUAGCUUUAACCACAAAAUAAAGUCUGCUCAAAUAGAACACGGGCAUUUUUCCUAUUGAAGAAUUUCUCUCUCUAACCUUAGCUUUGUGACUCAAGCACUUUAUAUUUCUAUUAUACAUCAAGAAGAACAUUGUUCCAUAGAUUAUUACUUGGAAAUUAGAUAUUGGAUAUAAUAGAAACUUAAUCAAAACAAAUGAUGAAUCAAUAAAUCAAAUAAAUAAUCUGCGAAUAGUAAAAUUAAUGCCUUACUUUAUCUCAGGAAUGUUCUUCAAGAUGACCGACUUUGGAUGUUGUGGAUAACCGGGAUAUGUAUGCCAUUUUGGUAGGUGGAAGAAACAAAAAACUCAAACAUUCAGAUUUUUUUUUACUUAUCUAUAUUCUGUGAGAUUAUACUUAAUCUUAGUAAAAUGGUAUUUAUACAUUAGAAGCUAUUGAAUUUCCUUUAAAGGAAAUUACAACAUAUCCCAAGAGUUCUGCUCUGCGUAUAGAUCUUCAAUAAAGAAGUACAGUUUUUUGGCAAUGCGGUAGGCUUUAAUAACUAAUUUUGGAGUUUUACAUGAUUCUUCUCAGUUCUUACCAUGAAGGCUUGACUAUGCUUAAUAAAUAGCAAUUUAAUCAUGUUGUUUAAUGUCUUUGUUUCCUGAGAAAGAGAUUUUGAGUGAUUUUAAUUUAAAAGCUUGAAAUGUUAAAAGUUUAUUUUUUAUGGAGGGGUGAUUUUUAAUUAUUUAAAAAUAAAAAAUAAAAAAAAAGUAAUUGGAUACAAUUUUAUUCUAUAUACCUUUUUUUCUUCUCUACCAUUCUAAUAUUAUUUUAUAUUCAGCAAGUGUAAGCAAAUGUCUUGCUUAUAUGUGUAUUGUUAUAAAUCCCCUUCGUCUGUAUUCAGGAUGUCCUUGUGACAGUAAUGAGCUGGCAUAACAGGUGAAUUUAUAAUAACAUCGCUAACAGAAAAAUGGGGUAAAAGUCAUAAUGCAGAGUAAUCACCAUGGACACAAUGGGAUCAGUUGGAGUAUUUCAUUGGUUUCCAUGGUGAUGUAUUCCCUUUUUAAAGUAUUUCUAUAUUUUUUCGUAACAAUCUGUGCUGUAACCUGAAUCCUGAGAAUAUUCCCAACAUACAAAAUCUCACAUUUUAAUCUUAGAAUAUUAGCCAAUGUCAAUGACUCAAUAUCGCUGCACCGUCUUCACCACAGAUUCUCACUUACAGAUGAGAUAACAAUAACUUAUAUGUUAGAGCCUAAUAUUUCACUUAUCUUUAACUUCCAAAUGUUUUCCUUCCCAUGACCAGUCUCAAAUCCCUAAAAACUCAACCUUUCAAUAAAACCUCCAACUAUAAUUCAAUUUAUAAAGCAUAACCCAGCAAUGCCUUUCGUGGUACCCUGAGAUAUUGUUCUCAUGUUUGAGAAGUGAAGUUAUAUGUUGUUUGAUACAAUCAACUAAGCUAUUAAUAAGUGCAUUUUAUCUUAUAUUUUUUGACUAUUUAGUUACAACUCCUGGAGAAAAUAAAAGAAGAAUAUCUACAGAAGCCAAGUAUUAACAACUAAGGAGUUGGUCACAGCCCAGCAUCAAUAUCUGAUCAAUAACAUUUCCUGAAUUCCAUCCAAUGUUAUGAGUGUUUUCAGUACAAUGUCAAUCCAAAAAUAUCUCAACCGUUUUCUGCAGGAAACACUGUCAAAGUUAGAAAUUGUUAUUGAGUUAAAAUCAGGCUUAAAGUUAGACAUCCUUCUUCUUGACACAAUCUCAAAAUCCAUCCUCAGACUGUAAGUUAUUGACCCAAAAAAUUAAUCCAUCCUUUAAAGAUCUGAUCGGCCUGAUAUCAGUAUACAUGUUGCUGAAAAGUGACAAAAUGGUGAAUUUGUGAUUGCAUCGUCAUCAUCCAAAGCCCAUCAGCUGAUGUUAACAUAUUGAUAACUAUCAAACACAAAAUUUAGAUAUAUCCUCAGCUGUGACAAAACACCAUUGUAUCCAAAAAAUAUAUAAAAAUUGAAUCCCACCCUCAGCAAUGAUAGUAUGGAGGAUUAAUGGCAACCAAUAAAUAAAUAAGUUUCUAUGCUUUACUGUCUGUGAAUGUGUAGGUUACCAAUAAAAUAUAUUGUGCACGCUUGCACAAAAAUGGAUAAAUAAUGAUAAAUGCUAAGUUGAUACAAAUGUGACACAUGCUGAAGUGGAG
rnacentral:lncRNA from 1 species